rnacentral:rRNA from 1 species
UACGAAGGGGGCUAGCGUUGCUCGGAAUUACUGGGCGUAAAGGGCGCGUAGGCGGAUACUUAAGUCGGGGGUGAAAGCCCAGGGCUCAACCCUGGAAUAGCCUUCGAUACUGGGUAUCUUGAGUACGGGAGAGGUGAGUGGAACUCCGAGUGUAGAGGUGAAAUUCGUAGAUAUUCGCAAGAACACCAGUGGCGAAGGCGGCUCACUGGCCCGGUACUGACGCUGAGGUGCGAAAGCGUGGGGAGCAAACAGG